rnacentral:lncRNA from 1 species
CAUAAUUCAUCUAUUAUGUUCCACAAUAUGGCAACAUGCAUAAUUCUUCUAUCAUAUGCAAUAUAUGUUAUCAUGUAUAUGUUUCUAUUUAACAUAAUCCACAAUAUGUUAAUUCACAAUAUGUCAUCAUGCACAUAUAUUACUAGCAUCACAUGAUAUGUCAACAUACAUAUAAUCAUUAUCCAAAGUAGUCUAUACUUAGCAUCUCAUGCAUUCUUUUAGCAUUUAAUUCAUUAUGCAUUUCAUCUCAUUGGUAGGUAAUAUCAACUACAUAAUAUGUUUCAAGCAUUCAUAUUAUCAUGUAAGCCUACCAAUACAACUAUAUGCAUCAAUGUGAAUUCGUAUGUUUCUUAGACAUAAAGGGCGACCUAGUCGCUUCGGUAAGCACAACCCACCUCAAAUCGCUUUCUGAUUGCUUAUCGACACUUGCAAUCGGCCUCCUGCGACACCCGGCACCCGCUUUGGCCCGAUCUCUCGCGCGACCACCCGAACGGCCUCCAAUCCACAAUCCGAAAAUUAAAACUCUUCGGUUAUGUGCCACAGCGCUUCAAAUCCACUUUCAUGAUUUUACGAUGUCGCCUCGGCCCUCCAGGCGGAAACGAAGCCUAACGUCCGUUUCUUUAAUAACUUCACAACGGCUCGACGAAUCGCCGAACCGACUUCGCCAACGCAUUCGUUUACCUAACAAUUAGAUUUAUGGAGGGUCAAAUUAGAUCAAACCCUUAUAUUUUACAAAACCCCAUUUUCUAAGCCUAAUAUGAAUUAACCUCCAAAUAAUCCAAAUUAAAUGGAUCAAUAUGCUAACAAAGCUCAUUAGAGGCUAUUAGAACACUUAAAGCUAAGUAUUAAGCCAAAUCCCAAAAGCUUACGACAAUGUGAACACCGCGACGAAAACACGCCAUUCCAACGGGCGCACGAAAGCGCGAUCCGUCGCCUCCAACGCGUUCGCAAGCAUCUUCUCCACCAACGCCGCGAAUUUGAGCGAGAGAUAUAUUUGGAGAGAUGGGAGAGAUCUUUAGAGAGAGAAAGGAACAGUUGGAGCCCUUCUAAAUGUCCGUUUGGGCUCAAAUUUGACAGGCAGGCUCAGUUUAAUGUACUGAGUAAGAAUAUAUCUUAAGUUUUCAGUUUCGACCCCGUUUGGUCACUGAAAAUUGUACUGAACUGUAAUCUUUAUUAGAUAACUAUCGGAUUUUAUUUUUCACCUUCCGGGUGUCAGAAUGACAUGAAACUUUAAAUAUAGCCUCAUAAAAAUAAUUCUGACUUACCCUCCAGUUUUCAUAAUUUUCUGACACUGUGCAUUUUCUGCUAAUUUAUCUGCCCCGUUUCUCACAGAAAAUUCUAAAUCUUCUGUUUUCACUCCAAUUUCAGCACAGGUCGUUUCUAACUCGUAUUUCACUUCUCCAAAUCCAAUAAAAAUAGUAUCUCAUACUAUUUUUAUUUAUUUUCAUUUUUGUAUUUAAAAUCCGGUAUACUACAUUCCACCACAAUCUCACCGGAACCAUUCAAAUGGCUUUCCAACCAAAUGUAUAUCGUAACUUCAUAAUUUUAGAAGUCCGGUACCUUACAUUCUCCCCUCCUUAAAAGAGUUUCGUCCUCGAAACUAUCUCACUUCAAUUUCAAUUCAUACCCCAACUCAACUUAUCAAAUAGUCGAGGGUUCCAAUGCACUUUCGCAUCUUGGAGUGGCCUUUCACUCAUCGGAACUAUCCAAAGGCUCACUACGGAAGAUGUGAGACUAGAUUCACUCACAUUUGCCAUGUGCAGCUCCAAAAGUACAUUACCACCAUGCAAAGAACUACUCUUGCGUUAUACAGCCAAUCGAAAAAUUUCACUCUGAUUCGAUCACCUGCAUUGCUUAGAAGCAAUAUCGUUGGUGACUCGACCAAUCGCGAGUGGUUCAUCACAACUGGAUCCUUGCUCUAUCACGAGAUGGCCCACUCCGGCACAUCUCCAAUCUCAAUUCACGAAAGAGCAUUGUCCUCAAGCUCCAAUUCCCACGUGGCUAUCCACAUCUCAACGUCGCACAAGAGCACUUCGCCCUUGAUAUCAUAAGCCACGACCAACUCUACUUCGCUCUUGCGACAAAUCCACACGAACCCUCCGUUUGUGAAUCCAAGCCAAACUCACUAAUAGAGUUAUUAGCUAACCAAUUAUGUCGGUUUCCACAGGGGGACCAACGGUCACCCGUCCUACGUAGGUCUACCGCCUAAACCUCUCACAACUACUCAUAGCGUCCCUCGCUCACCAGCGUAGACCCAAUCAUAAUCGGGCGAAAUUCUCAUUGGAGAAUUUGCACACACUCCAACCAGGAGCAACCGUGACCCCAAACCACCUCAAAUUCUCGGGUUGGGUCACUACACACUCGGUGUAUCCUCGAUCUCAUGAUCCAACAUGUGGCAUUCCACGUUCCCGGGUCCAAGCUCGGACUACCGUCCUGACCAAAUCUCUGCCCUACCAAUAGGUACCGGGCCGCUGUCUCUCACAGCUGACUGCGCCUGCCCAAAGGGCCCAGGCUCCACAGUCCACAAAUGGUCCAGGCACGAGUCGUCCCCAAGCACUACCCGCCGUCGUCGUCCCCACACAACAUACUCUAUCGAGCUAUAAAUACACUAUCGACUCCUAAGCAUCUAGUGCGAGCCACCAGCCCUACGAGUGAUCCAUGGCCCGCUUCACACUUAGCAAUGCUGAGUGCUACUGCCAACUCACUCUCCCGGCUGAAUCGAAACGCACUCUACGAGUACCCACACUCGAGCGCUCUAUACGCCUCCAUAGCGUUCCACACGAAGUCCAGCAUUAGGCAAUCUUGUCUAUGCACACCGGCCGCGCGAGCGCAACCACCUACCUCACCUUGAGGUACUACUAGGCCCACGUGCUCAAACUUGGCCACUAAUCGACCGUUCUCUCAACAGUGAUGCUACUUUCACUGUUCGAUCUAUCGGAAUGACAUCCGAAAUUUUCGGACCACUCGGGUGUUCUCAUAAGCAUCAUGACUCAACUCUCGCAAUUUACUACUCAUAUCGCUCUGAGAUUCGUUUCGCCACUUCUAUCUCUACCGCGAGUCUCACUUCUCGCCAUAGAUUACUUCUAGCACUUCGCUAGUGCCAUCUGGCUCUAUACCUCUACUGGCAGGUACUAUGCCCUCAGAUAACACAAAACUCCAUUUCUAGAGCAAUCAAACCUAUCUCUAGAAAUCCACCAUGAGAGAGAGCUUAGAAGCUUACCUCUCCGAGAAGCUCCGACCAAGGAGAAGAUGAAGAAGAUGAGGAAGACCUUCUUCUCCUUCUCUUUCUUUCCUUUCCUUUCUUCUUCCUCUUCUUGUCUUCUAGAGAGAGAAAGAGAGAUAUGAGAGGGUGUGUGGGUGAGAAAUGAGAGAAAAGAGCUCUCAUACCCCUCACAUAGCCCCACAUGUUGCAUAAGUGCAAAUAAGCCCCUCAACUUCAUUCUUAUGCACCGCCCUCACUGGGCAUUCUGCGCCCAGAGGGACCGGUCCCUCGUCGGGAAGACCGGUCCCCGAGAGCCCUCCCUGCGGCCUGGGGACCUUUCGCGUACGAGAACCGGUCCCCACCCGAGAGAUCGGUCCCUGGGAGACCGGUCCUUCCUGAGAGACUUGUUCCCGAGAGCUGAAUUUUCAGGACUUAGCCUUUUUUUGCCCUUCUCUCGCUGGUGUCGCAUACGGGGACCGGUCCCCUCAGCCAGGGACUGGUUGCAUCAACCUCCCCCGCAACCAUCAGCUACGGGGAUCGGUCCUCCCUUCCAGGGACCGGUUCCCGAGAGCAAAAUCUGCUAAGUCCAGAUUUUUGCAUAUUUGCUCUCGCGGACAUGUUUCCAAUGCGCUUUUUGUGUUUUGGACAUCUUUAGCUUUUUCAAAGGAUAUUCACUCGACAAAUAGUCGAUCCUGGAGGAAGUACAACUCUCGGAUUUCGAGAAUUCACUUCCUUACAUGCACAACCUCGACUACGUCCGGCCAAGGUCUCCGCGGAGGCAUUACUCCGCCACUCACACGAGAGUGGCCAAUCACACGCGAAGUCCUAAGUCUCCGCUCGUUUCGGAUUGCUUAGGGACACCACUCGUCCAAUCCCACGCCGAUCUAGAUGAAGAUCGCCUACGCGGUGCCAUCGCUUUCUAAGACACGACAACUCGAUCGAUUCUCGACCCUCAAGGUCAAGCGCGAAACAACUAACACCGACUCGAAUCGGGCGAAAGUCAUGCAAGGGUGUCUAUUCUCAUCACUCGGUUUCAUGUUGUAUAUACCCAACAUGAACACUCUCAGUUGAGAAUAAACCACACCUUGAGUCUUACCUCUAAUAUCCGUUUUAGAGGUUUACUAACCUGACCCAAUCUCUCGCCAUAAGUCACAAGUCCUCGUCUCUCACGAGCCUUAUUCUCCUAUGGUUUACUAUCCUAGGGUCUCCUAGGUCCGCCUAAACCAUUUCCCAUUCUCUACUUUAUGCUCUGAUACCACUCUAUCUGUCACGACCCGCGACCACCCGCCUAUUUGGCCGAGGUCGCGGCGCCGCCGACAGACUGCCGAACGGACAGAGUCUCCCUUGUACGUUCUAGGCGUCCCAAUCAAUACAAGUACAAGAAGUUCCAACCAGGAACAGUAUUCAAGCAAGAUUGCAUAAGGAAGGUAUCAAACAACAUAACACAUCCUAUGUUAUUAUAAGCAUUCCCAUUAGAUUUAUUUUUACAUCACAUUUGCAUUAUUACAUUACAUUUUCUUCCAAAUACAAUUAAUGAUCGCAAUAUUAUUACAAGUUUGCUCCUUUUUUUUCUUUUCCCUCUACCCCUAGGCUAUGCCGACUCGGGGUACCUCUAUCUCUGGUCUAUGGGGUAGGGCGCUAUCUAUGGAGCUACGCCCUCGCCUUGCGCCGCCGCGCCGCUCACGUGCGAACCUGCAACACCCCAAAAUAAUGUGGGGUGAGAACUAACUCCAUGGUUCCCAGUGGGUACAGCCACCGAAGGGAAGAGCUCGACCAAUAGGUCUAAGGAGGUCCUGCAACAUGUUAGUCCAACAGAUAUCCAACAGAUAUAUAUAUUCAAGUAUUGAAAUACAUGUUGUGCCUCACAAUAUGCAAUAUGAAAUUCAUGCAGUUUAUGCAACCAUGCAACCAACUAGUAGUUCAAUCGAUACUACUUUUAUUCCUGUUAUUUACAGUUCAACCAAUUGACUUCUAAGUUUUCCUCUAUCUUAGAUUCUUGUCAAUUACAAUUCUGCUCAUAGGGUUUAACCUGCUUUUAUAAGCUAUCCACUCGACUCAGUCUUGAGUAAAUCACACGCGGAAUACAGCACAAAGCCAGGCUCAAGGUGAAGGAUGUCUCACAUACACCUCAGCCCUAAAUCCACUCAACUGGGAUGCAACUAAAACUCAUGUAUUGCAUCAAAUAGUGAAGGUUUACUAUUAUGCUAACGAAUUCGAUCCAUGCUCGAAUAAAAAUGUUCAAUGACAUUGUUCACUAUUCCUUUACCCAAUCUGUAGUGAAGCCCUUCGGUUCGCCAAUAACUCACCUUUCAAUCCCAAAGUGGGGAGGGAGCUCCAAGUGCACCCAACCCCAGGACCGUCUGCGGACCUCUAUGUGGUCCGGACCUCCAAGUGGUCCUAGCUGCACGACACUCCGGAGUACUUGACGAUAAUCCCCUCCACGUGGGGAUAGGAUGGCUAUACCACCCCAAAAGCAGACUGUGAGCUAGAUCUAUCCUCUCCAAGUGAGGAUACCCUACAACUAGGGUCAACAACCCAAUCAAGUCCUCUCCAAGUGAGAAUGCUAUACAACUGGAGUCAACAACCCAAUCAAAUCCUCUCCAAGUGAGGAUGCUCUACAACUAGAGUCAACAACCCAAUCAAAUCCUCUCCAAGUGAGGAUGCUCUACAACUAGAGUCAAUGUCUCAAUAACUCAUCGACAACCUCUCCAUGUGAGGGUACUUAGGUUUACUAAAUUCUUUAUCCACAAGGCAUUUUCUAAGGGAUUCACCUAUCCCUAGGUUCUCAAACCUCUAGUGUCAAAUACACUACAUUAAUGCCACUCGAUAUGUUCUUGUUUUCCAAAGUCAAUUUCUCUAAUCGACCAAGUUCAACAUGCAUAAUUCAUCUACUAUGUUCCACAAUAUGGCAACAUGCAUAAUUCUUCUAUCAUAUGCAAUAUAUGUCAUCAUGUAUUUGUUUCUAUUUAACAUAAUCCACAAUAUAUUAAUUCACAAUAUGUCAUCUUGCACAUAUAUUACUAGCAUCACAUGACAUGUCAAUAUACAUAUAAUCAUUAUCCAAAGUAGUCUAUACUUAGCAUCUCAUGCAUUCUUUUAGCAUUUAAUUCAUUAUACAUUUCAUCUCAUUGGUAGGUAAUAUCAACUACAUAAUAUGUUUCAAGCAUUCAUAUUAUCAUGUAAGCCUACCAAUACAACUA